rnacentral:rRNA from 1 species
CCUACGGGCGGCAGCAGUAGGGAAUUUUCGUCAAUGGGCGCAAGCCUGAACGAGCAAUGCCGCGUGAACGAGGAAGGUCUUCGGAUCGUAAAGUUCUGUUGAAGGGGAAAAAGAGCGGAGAGAGGAAAUGGUCUCCGAUUGAUAUUACCCUUCGAGGAAGUCACGGCUAACUACGUGCCAGCAGCCGCGCUAAUACGUAGGUGGCGAGCGUUAUCCGGAAUGAUUGGGCGUAAAGGGUGCGUAGGCGGCCUGCUAAGUGUGGGGUGAAAGGUACCGGCUCAACCGGUACAGGCUCUGGAAACUGGCGGGCUAGAGAGCAGGAGAGGGCGGUGGAACUCCAUGUGUAGCGGUAAAAUGCGUAGAUAUAUGGAAGAACACCAGUGGCGAAGGCGGCCGCCUGGCCUGUUACUGACGCUGAGGCACGAAAGCGUGGGGAGCAAAUAGGAUUAGAUACCCGAGUAGUC